rnacentral:rRNA from 1 species
GAUGGACGCUGGCGGCGUGCCUAAUACAUGCCAGUCGAGCGAACAGACGAGGAGCUUGCUCCUCUGACGUUAGCGGCGGACGGGUGAGUAACACGUGGAUAACCUACCUAUAAGACUGGGAUAACUUCGGGAAACCGGAGCUAAUACCGGAUAAUAUAUUGAACCGCAUGGUUCAAUAGUGAAAGACGGUUUUGCUGUCACUUAUAGAUGGAUCCGCGCCGCAUUAGCUAGUUGGUAAGGUAACAGCUUACCAAGGCAACGAUGCGUAGCCGACCUGAGAGGAUGAUCGGCCAAACUGGAACUGAGACACGGUCCAGACUCCUACGGGAGGCAGCAGUAGGGAAUCUUCCGCAAUGGGCGAAAGCCUGACGGAGCAACGCCGCGUGAGUGAUGAAGGUCUUCGGAUCGUAAAACUCUGUUAUUAUGGAAGAACAAAUGUGUAAGUAACUAUGCACGUCUUGACGGUACCUAAUCAGAAAGCCACGGCUAACUACGUG